CAGCAGUAUUCCACAAUCUUCUUGUCUUCAGUUUCUCCUUUGCCUAUAUUUCUCUCUCUCUAAUCUUCGAUUUCCGCACUGCUCAGAUUCGCAAGUUGAUCACUAGCUAGCUGUCACGAUGAAGCCAGAGUCCAAGAAAAACCGCAAUAAAAGCACCAACAAAUCAGAAGGCAGUACUGCUUCACCUUCAUGUUACGAUUUAACAGCUCUUUCACAGGCCCUUGAUGAUCAAGAACGUGUAAAUAAAAAUAAAAAUAAAGAUAAAUCUUCUUUUGACUUGAGCAAUUUAUCAGAGGCACUUAAUAAUGUAGCUAAAGAGGGGAAUAGAAAGGAGAUAAAAAGGCUGGGAGUACUGAGAUCAAUUGCCCAGUCACAGGAAGAAGUGAAAACGAGGCAAAUGAGAGCAAGGAGACAACGGUAUAUUUGUGAAACAUGGAGCACGAGGGAGAUGGCUGGUGGGAGAGUGCAUGGAGGGAGGAGUUUUUUUCCUAUUCCUAUCUUUAGUGUGGGUGGUACGAGGAGAGGGAGGGUUGCACAUUGGUUUGUGCGUGGAUUUUACAGAACAGAGAACACUGUAGAGGAAGCAUUGGAUGAUAUUUCUUAAGUAGGUUGAUGUGGUAGUGGAUAUUUGGCAGGAUUGCUAUAAAUGGUGGCAUUAACUUUUACUUUCAAUUUUGUGAUUAAUGAAGAGUGCUCAAUUUUCAGUCA